rnacentral:rRNA from 1 species
AUGCUUAUCUCGUGGGAAAUUUGGAAUGAGAGGAAUGCUCGAGUCUUCCGCCACACCGCAGUGCCUAUAGGGGUUCUUAUUGCUAGAAUUAAAGAUGAGUCAAAGUCGUGGUGUCUUGCGGGAGCAAAAUUCUUUGAGUAA